GGAACAGAGGGAGUAAAAUAGGGACUAUCUAUAUUGAAUGUGGGCGGGCCGGCACGCGGCAGUCUUCCCCAAUAAAGUCCUCUCUCCUCCUCCGCCGGAAUCCUUCGCCUCUUCUCUUCGUCAGCCUCCUUCUCCCAUCUUCUGACCAAUCUCGGUUGACCCUAUCCAAGCUGCCCUCAACUAAUACUACCAGCACCAGUUUAUUUUUCGAAUAAACCGGGGAUUCCGCCAUGCCCCGCGGCAAGUCCUCCUCCGGCGGCAGCUUGUUCUACCGGAGGAAGCACUCAUGGCGCCGCGAUGAGUUAGUGAGCAGGAGCACCCUGCAUCUGCUGGACUUCGAUGACGGCACACCACCAGAACAUGCUUGGAGAAGGAAAUUAAGUAGUCACGCUAAUAGACUGAAGGAGUUCAAUGUUACGUUCAGAGAAGCAUUUAAAAUGAUGAAGCUUGGUCUCCGGCUUUGGUCAUAUGUUCGAGAAGAAGCUUCUCAUGGAAGGAAAGCACCGAUUGAUCCAUUCACGAGGGAGAGCAGCAAACCAUCAGCCUCACAAGGAGUACCCCUUGGUGGGAUGGGGACUGGUAGCAUAUCAAGAGGUUUUAGAGGGGAGUUCAAGCAUUGGCAGAUAACUCCUGGUUCAUGUGAUAUGUCACCAGUGAUGGAAAACCAAUUUUCGAUCUUUAUAACUAGAGAAGGAGGAAGCAAAAAGUACUCCUCAGUUUUAGCUCCUGGUCAGCAUGACGGUUUAAAAAAAUCUAGCGAUGAUGGCAUAUCAUCCUGGGAUUGGAAAUUAAGGGGUGAUCGUUCAACAUACCAUGCUUUGUUUCCUCGAGCAUGGACUGUUUAUGAUGGUGAACCUGAUCCUGAAUUGAAAUUAUCUUGCCGUCAAAUAUCUCCAUUUAUUCCCCACAACUACGAAGAGAGUAGUCUCCCAGUCUCCAUUUUUGUCUACACUCUAGUGAAUACCGGAAAGGAAAGGGCAAAAGUCAGCCUAGUAAUGACCUGGGCGAAUUCUAUUGGUGGACUUUCACAUCAGUCUGGCGGUCAUGUAAAUGAACCAUUCAUUGGAGAAAAUGGAAUUUCUGGUGUUCUCCUACAUCACAAGACUGCCAACAAUAAUCCUCCAGUAACAUUUGCUGUUGCUGCACGUGAAAACCAAAAUGUUGAUGUCACAGUGUUGCCAAUUUUUGGGCUUUCUGGAGAAAGUUCAGUCACUGCUAAGGAGAUGUGGGGCACAAUGGUCCAGGGUGGUUGCUUUGACCAAGAUAAUUUCAAUGCUGGCCCCAGCAUGCCUUCUUCAGUGGGUGAUACAGUUUGUGCAGCAGUUUCUGCUUCAACCUGGGUUGAACCACAUGGAAGAUGUACGGUCGUAUUUGCGUUGGCUUGGUCUUCUCCCGAGGUUAAAUUUAAGAAGGGAAGUAGGUACCAUAGGAGAUAUACGAAGUUCUACGGAACUUCUCCAAGAUCUGCUAUAAACCUGGCGCAAGAUGCCUUGAUGAAGUACAAGCAUUGGGAAGAGGAAAUCGAUAAGUGGCAGACCCCAAUUCUCCGUGAUGAGAGGCUUCCAGAAUGGUACAAAAUUACUCUCUUCAAUGAGUUAUACUUCCUAGUAGCGGGAGGAACUGUUUGGAUUGACAGUGAUUUGAGUUCAAGUCUACCUGAGGACAGUGAUUUGCCACUUCAUAACAGCACUUGCAACUCUACCGUUCCACUUAUUGGUUCUAGCCCACCUGAUUUUGAUGACAAAGAAAAUGUUGGGAAGUUUUUGUACCUUGAAGGAGUGGAGUACUUCAUGUGGUGCACUUACGAUGUACACUUCUAUGCUUCAUUUGCUCUGUUGGAUCUCUUUCCUAAGAUUGAGCUGAGUAUUCAACGGGACUUUGCUAGAGCUGUUUUGCGUGAAGAUAGAACUAGAGUCAGAUUUCUUGCUGAUGGUACAUGGGGCACACGCAAAGUAAUUGGUGCUGUUCCCCAUGAUCUCGGAGCACAUGAUCCUUGGCAUGAAUUGAAUGCAUACAAUAUACAUGAUACAAGUAGAUGGAAAGAUCUGAAUCCCAAGUUUGUGCUCCAGGUUUACAGGGAUUUUGCUGCAACAGACGACAUGUCAUUUGGCAAGGAUGUCUGGCCUGCAGUUUGUACUGCUAUGGAAUACAUUGAACAGUUUGAUCGUGAUGGUGAUUGUAUGAUUGAGAAUGAUGGUUUUCCUGAUCAAACUUAUGAUGCUUGGACUGUUCUUGGAGUAAGUGCCUACUGUGGUUGUCUUUGGCUUGCUGCCCUUCAAGCUGCAGCCGCAAUGGCCCGCAGCCUUGGACAUGAUGACUAUGCUGACAGGUGCAUGGUAAAAUUUGCGAAGGCUAAACACGUGUUUGAAGCCAAGUUGUGGAAUGGUUCAUAUUUCAAUUAUGACAGUGGAACAAGUUACAGUAGCCGCUCCAUCCAGGCAGAUCAGUUGGCCGGACAAUGGUACACUGCAUCAUCUGGCUUGCCACCUCUGUUUGAUGAGGACAGGAUAAAAUGCACGCUUCAGAAAAUAUUUGACUAUAAUGUGAUGAGGGUGAAAGGAGGACGCAUUGGAGCAGUCAAUGGUAUGCACCCAAAUGGGAAGGUAGACGAGACAUGUAUGCAGUCAAGAGAAAUCUGGACUGGAGUAACAUACAGUUUAGCUGCAACGAUGCUGCUCCACGGAAUGGAGGAUCAGGCUUUCACUACAGCGCAAGGCAUUUUUCUUGCAGGAUGGUCUGAAGAGGGCUAUGGGUAUUGGUUUCAAACUCCAGAAGCAUGGACUAUUGAUGGCCACUAUAGAUCUCUGAUAUAUAUGCGCCCGCUUGCGAUAUGGGCAAUGCAGCAUGUGCUGUCUCCUCCAAGGGCGAUCCUCGAGGCCCCAAAGGUAAAUACAAUGGAGAGGGCCUACGUUUCUCCUGGUGCGCUCCAGUUUCUCCAGGAUAGCGUCAGGAAGAUCACUCCCAAGAGUGGCUGUUUUUGAGCCAAUGUGUGUGUAGUCUGUGGCUGCUAGUGUGAUUAGAGAUUUAGCUCAAUUAUUCCUGUACAUGCAUGUGUAAAGAAAUGCAGAGUUGCAAUUUCCUUUCCGCGGAGGGAACUUCAUGUGCAACCAAGCUUGUCUUGUAUAUUGUGAUCACUGUCAGUGAACCCAACUCUGUGCAGUACUGUACAUAAUAUGUAUAGACCUCAUGCGUUGUUGUGGUUGAUGAAAACUUGGGUUGAUAACAUGACAACCAAAACUAGAAAUACAUAUGACUUAUUAUAUCGGAUUAUGUAUAACUGUAAAAUAUGUAUUGAAUACAAGUAGAAUAAUUGAAUGGAGAACAUUUUCCCAUGCAUGGUUGAAUGUUGUGGUGGAUUUUUUUUUCUCAUG
rnacentral:rRNA from 1 species